UUUAUAAGUGGUGAAGUGGGGACGAAGAAGGCUAGGUGAGCCAGGCGUUGGUUGUCCUGGUACUUGCAUGUAGGGGGGAAGACUUGGCAAAUCCGGUUUUCCAUAACUCUGAGGUGCGAAGUGGUUCUGACCUUUUGGUACAGAGAAGUCAUUGAUGCCCGGCUUCCAGGAAAAGCUGCUAGCCAUAACUUAUAGAGAACCGUACCGCAAACCGACACAGGUGGACAGGUAGAGAAUACUAAGGCGCUUGAGAGAACUCGGGUGAAGGAACUAGGCAAAAUGGUACCGUAACUUCGGGAGAAGGUACGCCCUUUUGGGUGAGGGCAUUUACUGUCUGAGCUUAAGAGGGCCGCAGAGACCAGGUGGCUGCGACUGUUUAUUAAAAACACAGCACUCUGCAAAUUCGUAAGAAGACGUAUAGGGUGUGACGCCUGCCCGGUGCCGGAAGGUUAAUUGAUGGGGUUAUCUUCGGAGAAGCUCUUGAUCGAAGCCCCGGUAAACGGCGGCCGUAACUAUAACGGUCCUAAGGUAGCGAAAUUCCUUGUCGGGUAAGUUCCGACCUGCACGAAUGGCGUAACGAUGGCCACACUGUCUCCACCCGAGACUCAGUGAAAUUGAAAUCGCUGUGAAGAUGCAGUGUACCCGCGGCUAGACGGAAAGACCCCGUGAACCUUUACUAUAGUUUUGCACUGGACUUUGAUGAUGACUGUGUAGGAUAGGUGGGAGGCUGUGAAGUGAGGACGCUAGUUCUCAUGGAGCCGCCCUUGAAAUACCACCCUGUUGUUAUUGAGGUUCUAACUUGGUCCAGUAAUCCUGGAUGAGGACAGUGUAUGAUGGGUAGUUUGACUGGGGCGGUCUCCUCCCAAAGAGUAACGGAGGAGCACAAAGGUACCCUCGGUACGGUCGGACAUCGUACCAAGAGUGUAAAGGCAAAAGGGUGCUUGACUGCGAGAGUGACGGCUCGAGCAGGAACGAAAGUUGGUCUUAGUGAUCCGGUGGUUCUGAAUGGAAGGGCCAUCGCUCAACGGAUAAAAGGUACUCCGGGGAUAACAGGCUGAUACCGCCCAAGAGUUCAUAUCGACGGCGGUGUUUGGCACCUCGAUGUCGGCUCAUCACAUCCUGGGGCUGAAGCAGGUCCCAAGGGUAUGGCUGUUCGCCAUUUAAAGUGGUACGCGAGCUGGGUUUAGAACGUCGUGAGACAGUUCGGUCCCUAUCUGCCGUGGGCGUAGGAAAAUUGAGAGGAGCUGCUCCUAGUACGAGAGGACCGGAGUGGACGAACCUCUGGUGCACCGGUUGUCACGCCAGUGGCAUGGCCGGGUAGCUAAGUUCGGACGGGAUAACCGCUGAAAGCAUCUAAGCGGGAAGCCUCCCUCAAGAUGAGUUUUCCCAUGAAGCCCGUUGAAGACUACGACGUUGAUAGGCAAGGUGUGGAAGCGCAGUAAUGCGUGAAGCUAACUUGUACUAAUUGGCUGAUUGUCUUGACCA
rnacentral:rRNA from 2 species